rnacentral:lncRNA from 1 species
CUGUGUGGUCUCUUCAGCAUAGCAACAGCAGCGUAGCUGAACAUCUUACGGAUGGCCCAGGGCUCCAAAGGCUCGUUUCCUAAGUGAGAGAGAGCCUGGCUGAAGCUGUAUUACCAUUCAUUCUCCAGCCUCCGAAGUCUCAAAGCAUCACUUCCACCAUACUCUAACUGUCAAGACAAACACAAAGGCCCAGAAACUGCCAGACUGUCUUCUGAAGUGGCUAUAAUAUUUACACUCCCAUCAGCAGUGUAGAAGGGGUCUCACUAUGUUGUCUGGAGUGCUGUGGUGGAGUGGAGUGGCUAUUCACAGAGCCUGUUCUGCUGGGACACAGAAUCACUUGCUCCAUCUCAUACAUUGAUGAUGAUUAAUUUGUAUGUGUACCUUCCAAAAAAGAUGGUUGUGUUUGAAUGGAGGCCUUCUGGACAGGAAAAUAAUCACAUCCUUCCUGAGAUAAUGAGCACACAAUUGCCUGGAUACCUGAAGGAAUGGAGACAGCGGCAGAAAACACUGCAGAGAGGUGGAAACAUCCGUUAAUAUUUUAAAAUCCCAUUACUGCUACCAACAAUAAUAAUGGAUGCAUAGAAAUAGAUCUGGAUUAGCUGAGCUUGAAACAGUCCAUCUCACACACACACAAAAGAAUUUCAGAUACAGUGAACCCACAUGUUGAAGCUUUCUAGUAUAAUAAAAAUUUCAACUGUUCUGUUGAAUCAUCUGCCUGAUUGGAGGCUACAGAAAAGAUGUCAUCUUAGGAGUGCUUGCUCUGAGUGAGGCUCAUCUUCAAAUCUGAAUGACCACAAGGAGAUUUGAUUAUACAUGUGAACACCUCAGAAGGCACAGCCCACCCAGAAGGCAGACAGGUCAGGCUGCUUUUUCUUCAUUGCUUGGAUUCAAUCCUCCGGGCGGCUCAGGCUCAAACAUAACUUAAGCAUGAUUAAACUUUAGAAGAAGCUGCCAGGAAGACUGUGAAAUCUUCAUGCCCAAGGAUCCCUAAAAUUAGGAGCAACAACCACUUGGCUCAGACGGUUUAUGGAGGCAAAGGUUUGGAUGGGAUUAGAGAUUUCUAAAUGUGAGUUCGUGUCCUCUGCCAGACCACCUUACUUCCACCAUUCCUCAGCAAAUCAAGAAAAACAGGAGAAAAGACAUGCCUUUCCAUAAGUUAAAUCUAUUCUGUUUUAAUUCUAUAUUAUAUCUGCUGUACAACUUCUUUUGUUUGUAACACCAUAUUGUUGCUAGUAACUGGAAAUUAAUUUUCACAUGCCUCAGCUUAGAAAAAUAAAAAGCAGCCCUGCAUCAAUCCCAAU